GACGAACGCUGGCGGCGUGCUUAACACAUGCAAGUCGAACGGAAAGGCCCUGCUUUUGUGGGGUGCUCGAGUGGCGAACGGGUGAGUAACACGUGAGUAACCUGCCCUUGACUUUGGGAUAACUUCAGGAAACUGGGGCUAAUACCGGAUAGGAGCUCCUGCUGCAUGGGGGGGGUUGGAAAGUUUCGGCGGUUGGGGAUGGACUCGCGGCUUAUCAGCUUGUUGGUGGGGUAGUGGCUUACCAAGGCUUUGACGGGUAGCCGGCCUGGGAGGGUGACCGGCCACCUUGGGCCUGCGAUACGGCCCAGACUCCUACGGGAGGCAGCAGUGGGGAAUAUUGCACAAUGGGCGGAAGCCUGAUGCAGCAACGCCGCGUGCGGGAUGACGGCCUUCGGGUUGUAAACCGCUUUCGCCUGUGACGAAGCGUGAGUGACGGUAAUGGGUAAAGAAGCACCGGCUAACUACGUG
rnacentral:rRNA from 1 species